rnacentral:rRNA from 1 species
GACGAACGCUGGCGGCGUGCCUAACACAUGCAAGUCGAACGGAGAUACGAUUUCGGUUGUAUCUUAGUGGCGAACGGGUGAGUAACGCGUGAGCAACCUGACCUUUAGAGGGGAUAACACUUGGAAACAGGUGCUAAUACUGCAUAAGACCACGACCCGACAUCGGGAUGAGGUCAAAGGAGUAAUCCGCUAGAGGAGGGGCUCGCGUCCCAUUAGAUAGAUGGCGGGGUAACGGCCCACCAUGUCGACGAUGGGUAGCCGAGCUGAGAGGCUGAUCGGCCACACUGGAACUGAGACACGGUCCAGACUCCUACGGGAGGCAGCAG